rnacentral:rRNA from 1 species
AUGAACGCUGGCGGCGUGCUUAACACAUGCAAGUCGAACGAUGAAGCCCAGCUUGCUGGGUGGAUUAGUGGCGAACGGGUGAGUAACACGUGAGUAACCUGCCCUUAACUCUGGGAUAAGCCUGGGAAACUGGGUCUAAUACCGGAUAGGAGCGCCUACCGCAUGGUGGGUGUUGGAAAGAUUUAUCGGUUUUGGAUGGACUCGCGGCCUAUCAGCUUGUUGGUGAGGUAAUGGCUCACCAAGGCGACGACGGGUAGCCGGCCUGAGAGGGUGACCGGCCACACUGGGACUGAGACACGGCCCAGACUCCUACGGGAGGCAGCAGUGGGGAAUAUUGCACAAUGGGCGAAAGCCUGAUGCAGCGGCGCCGCGUGAGGGAUGACGGCCUUCGGGUUGUAAACCUCUUUCAGUAGGGAAGAAGCGAAAGUGACGGUACCUGCAGAAGAAGCACCGGCUAACUACGUG